GGGCUGGUAGCUUAGUCCGGUGGAGCGGUCGUCUUAUACACGACAGGUCGGAGGUUCAAAGCAGGCGAAGCAUGCUUUACCGACAAAACCGAAAGGUUUUGCGGAACCACGAAACUAUGGUUUCGUUGGUAAGCUAACGCUUCGUUUGGUGCAAAUCCUCCCCGGCCCA
rnacentral:tRNA from 1 species